GCUAUACAUGCAGUCGAGCGGACAGAAGGGAGCUUGCUCCCGGAUGUUAGCGGCGGACGGGUGAGUAACACGUGGGUAACCUGCCUGUAAGACUGGGAUAACUCCGGGAAACCGGAGCUAAUACCGGAUAGUUCCUUGAACCGCAUGGUUCAAGGAUGAAAGACGGUUUCGGCUGUCACUUACAGAUGGACCCGCGGCGCAUUAGCUAGUUGGUGAGGUAACGGCUCACCAAGGCGACGAUGCGUAGCCGACCUGAGAGGGUGAUCGGCCACACUGGGACUGAGACACGGCCCAGACUCCUACGGGAGGCAGCAGUAGGGAAUCUUCCGCAAUGGACGAAAGUCUGACGGAGCAACGCCGCGUGAGUGAUGAAGGUUUUCGGAUCGUAAAGCUCUGUUGUUAGGGAAGAACAAGUGCAAGAGUAACUGCUUGCACCUUGACGGUACCUAACCAGAAAGCCACGGCUAACUACGUGCCAGCAGCCGCGGUAAUACGUAGGUGGCAAGCGUUGUCCGGAAUUAUUGGGCGUAAAGGGCUCGCAGGCGGUUUCUUAAGUCUGAUGUGAAAGCCCCCGGCUCAACCGGGGAGGGUCAUUGGAAACUGGGAAACUUGAGUGCAGAAGAGGAGAGUGGAAUUCCACGUGUAGCGGUGAAAUGCGUAGAGAUGUG
rnacentral:rRNA from 1 species